rnacentral:lncRNA from 1 species
GACUACUUCGUCGGUGUCACUGCCUACUCCGAUGCUCCAUGUCUUGCCACUUGGGGACUUCAGACUGAUGACCUCAGAGAUGUGGCCGUUGAAGUUAUUUGCAAAUCUUGCAGGUAUGCUCUGCAGCAAAAUCAUGUUUUUAUUUGUUUUGUGACACAUUUCUUCCUUUCUUUACCGACUAAUCAUGCUUAAGUUAAGAUUGCAAUGGAAAUGCAUGAAGCUAAGCCUAUUGAGAUGUGAAUACUGAAAUUAGCAUAUGAUUUUCUGUACAGAAAUAAUACACCGUUAGUGAAGAACACAGCAAUAUUCCUCUGCGUAUACCAACAAGCAGGCCCAAAAUAACCCAGGGAAGUCGAUUCCUGUAGCACAUUCAAUCACAGAAGAUGGAGAGCAACGCAUGCA